GGGAGAGGAACUUGUUCCUCGAGUCGUUGAUUUCACACUGCCGAGAAAAGCCUCUAGCUAGAAUAACGGUGCCCGUACCGCAAACCGACACAGGUAGUCAAGAUGAGAAUUCUAAGGUGAGCGAGCGAACUCUCGUUAAGGAACUCGGCAAAAUGACCCCGUAACUUCGGGAGAAGGGGUGCUCUUUGAGGUUCACGCUUCGAAGAGCCGCAGUGAAUAGGCCCAAGCGACUGUUUAUCAAAAACACAGGUCUCUGCUAAACCGUAAGGUGACGUAUAGGGGCUGACGCCUGCCCGGUGCUGGAAGGUUAAGAGGAGUGGUUAGCGCAAGCGAAGCUACGAAUCGAAGCCCCAGUAAACGGCGGCCGUAACUAUAACGGUCCUAAGGUAGCGAAAUUCCUUGUCGGGUAAGUUCCGACCCGCACGAAAGGCGUAACGAUUUGGGCACUGUCUCAACGAGAGACUCGGUGAAAUCAUAGUACCGGUGAAGAUGCCGGUUACCCGCGACAGGACGGAAAGACCCCGUGGAGCUUUACUGUAGCCUGAUAUUGAAAUUCGGUACAGUUUGUACAGGAUAGGUAGGAGCCUUAGAAGCGUGAGCGCUAGCUUACGUGGAGGCAUUGGUGGGAUACUACCCUAAUUGUAUUGGAUUUCUAACCCGCAGCACUUAUCGUGCUGGGAGACAGUGUCAGGCGGGCAGUUUGACUGGGGCGGUCGCCUCCUAAAGAGUAACGGAGGCGCUCAAAGGUUCCCUCAGAAUGGUUGGAAAUCAUUCAUAGAGUGUAAAGGCAUAAGGGAGCUUGACUGCGAGACCUACAAGUCGAGCAGGGUCGAAAGACGGACUUAGUGAUCCGGUGGUUCCGCAUGGAAGGGCCAUCGCUCAACGGAUAAAAGCUACCCCGGGGAUAACAGGCUUAUCUCCCCCAAGAGUUCACAUCGACGGGGAGGUUUGGCACCUCGAUGUCGGCUCAUCGCAUCCUGGGGCUGUAGUCGGUCCCAAGGGUUGGGCUGUUCGCCCAUUAAAGCGGUACGCGAGCUGGGUUCAGAACGUCGUGAGACAGUUCGGUCCCUAUCCGUCGUGGGCGUAGGAAAUUUGAGAGGAGCUGUCCUUAGUACGAGAGGACCGGGAUGGACAUACCUCUGGUGUACCAGUUGUCGUGCCAACGGCAUAGCUGGGUAGCUAUGUAUGGACGGGAUAAGUGCUGAAAGCAUCUAAGCAUGAAGCCCCCCUCGAGAUGAGAUUUCCCAACUUCGGUUAUAAG
rnacentral:rRNA from 1 species